rnacentral:rRNA from 1 species
AGUGAACGCUGGCGGCAGGCCUAACACAUGCAAGUCGAACGGCAGCACAGUAAGAGCUUGCUCUUACGGGUGGCGAGUGGCGGACGGGUGAGGAAUACAUCGGAAUCUACUUUUUCGUGGGGGAUAACGUAGGGAAACUUACGCUAAUACCGCAUACGACCUACGGGUGAAAGCAGGGGAUCUUCGGACCUUGCGCGAUUGAAUGAGCCGAUGUCGGAUUAGCUAGUUGGCGGGGUAAAGGCCCACCCAGGCGACGAUCCGUAGCUGGUCUGAGAGGAUGAUCAGGCACACUGGAACUGAGACACGGUCCAGACUCCUACGGGAGGCAGCAGUGGGGAAUAUUGGACAAUGGGCGGAAGCCUGAUCCAGCCAUACCGCGUGGGUGAAGAAGGCCUUCGGGUUGUAAAGCCCUUUUGUUGGGAAAGAAAAGCAGCAGGUUAAUACCCCGCUGUUCUGACGGUACCCAAAGAAUAAGCACCGGCUAACUUCGUG